rnacentral:rRNA from 1 species
GAUGAACGCUGGCGGCGUGCCUAAUACAUGCAAGUCGAGCGAACGGACGAGAAGCUUGCUUCUCUGAUGUUAGCGGCGGACGGGUGAGUAACACGUGGAUAACCUACCUAUAAGACUGGGAUAACUUCGGGAAACCGUAGCUAAUACCGGAUAAUAUUUUGAGCCGCAUGGUUCAAAAGUGAAAGACGGUCUUGCUGUCACUUAUAGAUGGAUCCGCGCUGCAUUAGCUAGUUGGUAAGGUAACGGCUUACCAAGGCAACGAUGCAUAGCCGACCUGAGAGGGUGAUCGGCCACACUGGAACUGAGACACGGUCCAGACUCCUACGGGAGGCAGCAGUAGGGAAUCUUCCGCAAUGGGCGAAAGCCUGACGGAGCAACGCCGCGUGAGUGAUGAAGGUCUUCGGAUCGUAAAACUCCGUUAUUAGGGAAGAACAUAUGUGUAAGUAACUGUGCACAUCUUGACGGUACCUAAUCAGAAAGCCACGGCUAACUACGUG